GACGAACGCUGGCGGCGUGCUUAACACAUGCAAGUCGAUCGGUAAGGCCCUUCGGGGUACACGAGUGGCGAACGGGUGAGUAACACGUGGGUGAUCUGCCCUGCACUUCGGGAUAAGCCUGGGAAACUGGGUCUAAUACCGGAUAGGACCACUGCCUGCAUGGGUGGUGGUGGAAAGCUUUUGCGGUGUGGGAUGGGCCCGCGGCCUAUCAGCUUGUUGGUGGGGUGAUGGCCUACCAAGGCGACGACGGGUAGCCGGCCUGAGAGGGUGACCGGCCACACUGGGACUGGGAGACGGCCCAGACUCCUACGGGAGGCAGCAGUGGGGAAUAUUGCACAAUGGGCGCAAGCCUGAUGCAGCGACGCCGCGUGAGGGAUGACGGCCUUCGGGUUGUAAACCUCUUUCAGCACCGACGAAGCGCAAGUGACGGUAGGUGCAGAAGAAGGACCGGCCAACUACGUGCCAGCCGCCGCCGUAAUAC
rnacentral:rRNA from 1 species